AGCUAGUGAGGCGUAGUGGUCCAAGUGCUGGACUAUGAUUCUGGAGACCAGGGUUCGAUUCCCUGCUUGGCCA